rnacentral:lncRNA from 1 species
UCACACAUGCCAAAUCCUACCAGACAUAUUGAACUUUCAAAACUUCGAUGCGAAUGACAUACAGCUUGACAAAAAAAAAUGUAGUUCAGGUCUCAGUUUGGGUUAAUAAACCCAUUUCAGUGGCUUUUACUGUUACCUUCUGUUUGGCAAGUUGUUUGUUGGAGAAUUUCUCAGGCUGAGCCAAAGAAGGCAUAUUUAUCUCAUACAACAAAAUCUAAAUUAAUUGUAGAAGUUGAGGAGGACUAAGAGCACAGGAUUAAUUAAAACCCUCAGGUGAUCCUUACAUCUCAUUUUAUUUCAGUUUAUUUUCCUUCUAAAUUUUUUGCAGAGGUACAAGGAUAAAAUGAAAGGGAUUGAAUUAUAUAUCACUAUGACCUUUCUGUUUUAGACAUUGAUGAAGAUAAUAAGCAGUAAACAAGAGAAAGAGUCAGCAGCAGAAGAAGAAGAGAUCACGAUGAUCUAUGAGCAUGGCAAGCUUAGUAAAAUCCUGGUCGUCAUCAUGGAGACACAGAUGAAGAGCUAUUCCAGAGCCAACCGCAUCCCUGAAACACAUUGGACAGAUACAAAAAGCCUGGAAAGAGAAUGUAUUCUUGGUGCCCAGAAGUCUAGCAGACAUAGGCUUUGUCAAAAUGGUGGAGAAAAUAAAUUCCAAACACACAAUGCUUUCCAGGAAAAUGCCUCACAUUUGGAAAAUCCAACUGGAAAAUUUCCUUUAAAAGAAUUCAGGAGGCUAGCUGUGCACACUCAACCUAGUCAACAUGUUGGACUGAACUGAAAAAUUAACUGUUACUCACAUGUGUGACUAAUGUGUCACUGAGGCCAGAUUAGCAGUGUAGAGAAUACAGGAGAAUUAUUUCUCCAGACCCUUGUUUCUUGGAACACCUCUCAAAGUCUGUAGAAUGUCCUGGUUUCCAACUUGCUCUUCUCCCAUAGGUCUAUCACCAAAGGGACCUCAACAUGAACACUGAGGAUACUAAAGAGAAGGAUCCACAAUAAAUGCAGCCAGAAUAAUCCUCAUUUUAUUUUAAAAUCUUGGAAGAUAGAAUUAAAAUGUUAUUUUACUCUAGAAUGAAUUAAAAAUGCAAAUGCUUUCCUAUCAUACAAAAAUAGAAGAGCUUUGAUAUAAUAGUGACAUAAAUUGAAACAUUCCAUGAUGUAUUUCACAAGUUUUAAGCAAAAUAGAUGUUUGAAAUCCUGUCAAAGUAGCAUUGCCAUGUUAUUUUGCUUUUAGUCAGCAAGGUUUUAUUUUGUGUUUUAUAAUAAUUAUCAUCACAGAGACAAAUCAGAACCCACUUCUUGUUUAUACAUUUACCCACAUUAUCCUUGUUAUACCUUUAUGUAAGAUAAUACACAUCUCAACUGCAAGAAUUUAAAACAUGAGUUCCAUGAAGAUAAUAUACUAUCACUUAUUUUGUAGUUAUUAUGGUUUAUCAUGGAAAGGAAUCUCUACAAACCUAAAUGGAAAGGGUUAUUAGCAUAUGCAAACUUAUUAAUACACCAGUAAAGUUAGUCAUAUUCAGCAGGGAGAACAUAUGCUAUUUCCAUAAUAAUCAUUCUUUGCUAAGAGGAUAAUCCUUCAUAAAAGUUUUUAAUGAAGUUCAGUGUGGAUUUAUAGUUGUAGAUUAUAAAAUCUCUGAUAUAGAAAUUUUGUGUAAAUCCAGGUUACAAAGUGACUCCAUUUUCAUGGAAGGAGAUACAUGACAAGAG